GACGUAGGGCGCGAGCGUUGUCCGGAUUUAUUGGGCGUAAAGAGCUCGUAGGCGGCUUGUCGCGUCGACCGUGAAAACUUGGGGCUCAACCCCAAGCCUGCGGUCGAUACGGGCAGGCUCGAGUUCGGUAGGGGAGACUGGAAUUCCUGGUGUAGCGGUGGAAAUGCGCAGAUAUCAGGAGGAACACCGAUGGCGAAGGCAGGUCUCUGGGCCGAUACUGACGCUGAGGAGCGAAAGCGUGGGGAGCGAACAGG
rnacentral:rRNA from 1 species